rnacentral:rRNA from 1 species
UGUCCGGAAUUAUUGGGCGUAAAGAGCUUGUAGGCGGUUUGUCGCGUCUGCUGUGAAAGCCCAGGGCUUAACCCUGGGUCUGCAGUGGGUACGGGCAGGCUAGAGUGUGGUAGGGGAGACUGGAAUUCCUGGUGUAGCGGUGGAAUGCGCAGAUAUCAGGAGGAACACCGAUGGCGAAGGCAGGUCUCUGGGCCAUUACUGACGCUGAGAAGCGAAAGCGUGGGGAGCGAACAGGAUUAGAUACCCUGGUAGUCCACGCCGUAAACGUUGGGCGCUAGGUGUGGGUCCCAUUCCACGGGGUCCGUGCCGCAGCUAACGCAUUAAGCGCCCCGCCUGGGGAGUACGGCCGCAAGGCUAAAACUCAAAGGAAUUGACGGGGGCCCGCACAAGCGGCGGAGCAUGCGGAUUAAUUCGAUGCAACGCGAAGAACCUUACCAAGGCUUGACAUACACCGGAAACUUCCAGAGAUGGGAGCCCCCUUUGUGGCUGGUGUACAGGUGGUGCAUGGUUGUCGUCAGCUCGUGUCGUGAGAUGUUGGGUUAAGUCCCGCAACGAGCGCAACCCUCGUUCUAUGUUGCCAGCGGUUCGGCCGGGGACUCAUAGGAGACUGCCGGGGUCAACUCGGAGGAAGGUGGGGAUGACGUCAAAUCAUCAUGCCCCUUACGUCUUGGGCUUCACGCAUGCUACAAUGGCCGGUACAAAGGGCUGCGAUCCCGUGAGGGGGAGCGAAUCCCAGAAAGCCGGUCUCAGUUCGGAUUGGGGUCUGCAACUCGACCCCAUGAAGUCGGAGUCGCUAGUAAU